rnacentral:tRNA from 1 species
GGCCCUGUAGCCUAGUCUGGAUAAGGCGACAGCCUUCUAGGUUCUACAAAGAAAGCUGUAGAUCGGGGGUUCGAAUCCCCUCAGGGCCG